UCGCCAUGAUGGAAUUUCUAGAUCUUAAAUCUUCCACAUUUGAGAUCUUUUAGCUGGGCCUUUCCAUCUGUUUCACUAGGUGGAGGGCGUUCUGGAGAAUUGAUACUGGGCAAGCUUGACCAGUGUCACUGGUCCACCUUUUUCAAUUCCUAUCCUCAUCUAGAAUGGGGUUCUCCGAGAAUUGGAGAAGGCGACCAUUUCCUCUGUUUUGCACACUAUUAAUUUUUAUAUCAAGAGAAUUUGCUACGCUUGGUGGCUUUGCUUGAACAGACAAAAAGAAAAGAAAAAAAAAAAUAUACCGCUAUCAUGAUACAAGUCAGUAAGCACUCCACGCCUUAAAUGGAUGUACCUUGAGUUCCUGCCGAAGAACUUUCUCAGAUUUACUAGUCUCUCGUUCCAAAAGUAUAUGGAUAACACCUGGUGAGUAUCCAAACAUCUCUGUUGCCCCCAAUGCGUGGCUACCUCCCGUCGCCUCUCCACUUUCCAGAUCAUUUCUGGCAAAACCCAUGAUCAAUAAUAUUUAAUCGUGUUGAAAUUGAUGCUCGUCCGGCCAAUAGUCUUCCCCUGGCUGGCAGCUUCAAACUUCAGCACUCCAUCCUGGGCGCCAAAGAUGACUUUCAGCGUGUACUCAAGGAGAUAUACUCGCCGCCCAUAUAGAUAUUUUGAUGGGAACUUGUUCAAGUCGGCAUUGGAAAAGUUAACCUCAAUGUCACCAACGACAUAACAAUCUGCAGUGCGGUUAGAUUUAAGUCAAUUGCCCCAAGGUACAUGGCAGAGACAAACCUGGAUUUUUCCGCUCCGGAGCAUCCGUCAGGUCACAAGCAUAUAGGGUGUCGAGAUACUUCAGGCUUCUGAACUCAUAGUGCAUGCAGGCCACAUGAGCCAUAUAUGUAUAGUUCUCUGUAUAUUUCUCGCCCUGUUUGAUGAGAGUUAUUGGGAAAGUCUCUAAAGAGAGCAGAAAUGGAGCCACGCUGCCGUGAAUCACCUUGCAAAUCAUCCAUUUCAUAAUUCCGUCAACUCUCUUUCCACCUGUAAACCAAUCGAUAUAAGCUUUCGAUUCAGCAUCUAUGCCAUCUCGGAACGGGAUACUGCGAAGAAAGCCGUAAUGUCGGCGGCACUUCUUUGUCGUGGACCGGAUUCCUUCAAGUCCGCGGAGAGCGGCUCCUUGGACAAUAGUCGCUUGAGGUUUAUCAGGAACGGUAACAGCAAUGUCCAU
rnacentral:sRNA from 1 species